AUUGAACGCUGGCGGCAGGCCUAACACAUGCAAGUCGAGCGGGGUUUUCGGACCUAGCGGCGGACGGGUGAGUAAUGCGUAGGAAGCUGCCCGAUAGAGGGGGAUACCAGUUGGAAACGACGGUUAAUACCGCAUAAUGUCUACGGACCAAAGUGUGGGACCUUCGGGCCACAUGCUAUCGGAUGCGCCUACGUGGGAUUAGCUAGUUGGUGAGGUAAUGGCUCACCAAGGCGACGAUCGCUAGCUGGUUUGAGAGGAUGAUCAGCCACACUGGAACUGAGACACGGUCCAGACUCCUACGGGAGGCAGCAGUGGGGAAUAUUGGACAAUGGGCGCAAGCCUGAUCCAGCCAUGCCGCGUGUGUGAAGAAGGCCUUCGGGUUUUAAAGCACUUUCAGCGAGGAGGAAGGGUGGUGUGUUAAUAGCACAUCAUUUUGACGUUACUCGCAGAAGAAGCACCGGCUAACUCUGUGCCAGCCGCCGCGGUAACAC
rnacentral:rRNA from 1 species